rnacentral:tRNA from 1 species
AGCCCCGUAGUCUAGAACUUCGUAGGAUACCCCUCCGAGGUGGACAUUGGUCAAGGACACGGGACUCUGGAUCCUGUAACCCCGGUUCGAAUCCGGGCGGGGCUA